GCCAACGUUAGCUCACAGGGGAUCGAGCAGAUUGGACUUCAAUCUGCUAAAUUCCUCUUGACCAGCACGGCGAGCCUGGAGUACGACACAAACCAGUACAUCUUCUUUUCAGCGAGAUCUAACAACAACCCCCCUGUUCAGAAGGUUGAGGCAGAAAUAGAAGUGUAUCCUGAACCAGAUUUCACCAAAGAGAUUGUUGGAGGAUCGCUGGGAGGGUUGGCUUUCCUAGCUUUACUCACAGCCGGCCUGUAUAAGGCUGGAUUUUUCAAGAGUAAAUACAAUCAGAUGAUAAGUGAAAGUGCAGAAGGAGAGGAGGAUCUUGGGGCCGAUGAAGAUGCAGCCUGAGCAAAAUAGAAUAAUGUAAAAUAUCUGUGUGAGCAAUUAUUUUAGACGCAAGCUUUUUGUGGAGACGCUGAAGGCCACCUAUAGCAAUUUGUAACGUCAAAUGUGUUUGAGUAUUUCUAGAAUGUUAUCAGUAUGUUUCCUUGCUGUCAGACAGUCCUCUAUGAUGGAAAACAAAUUGAUGUGUGAGUCUAUGCUUUCUUCAUAGCCCUCAAUGAUAGAAAAAAAAGGUGACACAACAUGGAAUUGUUGUGUCUAACUCAAGC